AUUGAACGCUGGCGGCAGGCCUAACACAUGCAAGUCGAGCGGAUGAAGGGAGCUUGCUCCUGGAUUCAGCGGCGGACGGGUGAGUAAUGCCUAGGAAUCUGCCUGGUAGUGGGGAUAACGUCCGGAAACGGGCGCUAAUACCGCAUACGUCCUGAGGGAGGAAGUGGGGGAUCUUCGGACCUCACGCUAUCAGAUGAGCCUAGGUCGGAUUAGCUAGUUGGUGGGGUAAAGGCCUACCAAGGCGACGAUCCGUAACUGGUCUGAGAGGAUGAUCAGUCACACUGGAACUGAGACACGGUCCAGAAUCCUAAGGGAGGCAGCAGUGGGGAAUAUUGGACAAUGGGCGAAAGCCUGAUCCAGCCAUGCCGCGUGUGUGAAGAAGGUCUUCGGAUUGUAAAGCACUUUAAGUUGGGAGGAAGGGCAGUAAGUUAAUACCUUGCUGUUUUGACGUUACCAACAGAAUAAGCACCGGCUAACUUCGUG
rnacentral:rRNA from 1 species